UUUCUUCAUUCUGUAUAGUAGGAAACUGAAGCUUAGCAAAGUUAAAAGGCAGGCCGAAGUUCACAAAGCUGUUAAUGUUGAUAACAGAACUCAAACCCACCCAACUUGGCUCCAAAGCUCGAGUUCUUUAAGAGUUGCUGAAUGAUUUUAUUUUAUUUUUUUUAUUUUUUAUUUAUUUAUUUUUUAAUUUAAUUUUAUUUUUAAACUUUACAUGCUGAAUGAUUUUAAUUCAAGUGUCUCUGAAAGACAAUUCAUUCAAACUUGGUCUUACAUUUAUUGGUUACUUACUCUCUGCCAGUCUUCUCUAGGUACUCAGGAUGCACCAGUAACUAUAUAAAUGUUGAAACAUCCAAUAUGGUCAAGAAUGAUUUCAACUUGACGAAAACUAGUCCCUUGUGUGCACUUGUCAUACAGGUGUUGAGUGGAAAGCCCACACUCCAGAAGCUCAUUAAAAGGGCCAAGUUACAGUACAGGUUUAUUUCUGUCACAGCGUUUCUGAAAACAGUGACAAGGAUUAAUAUGUUUCUUUAGUACUGGAAAAAGCCUGACACAAUCCCUUGUGAAUUUGAUCAUCUGUUUCAUUGCCUGUAUAAGAUUCAAUCUCUUAUUAUAUCCU
rnacentral:lncRNA from 1 species